GUAGGUUAGCCUACAAUAUAAAUAUGAGGGGUAGGUGUUGUGGCGUCCUAGUGUACUCGGCAGCCAUAUUCGUUUUCCUUUUGCUGCUUGCAUAUACAUCACCUGUGACAUGUCGUCACCAUCUGCUUGAGGUUGCAAGUUUAACAUCAUCACCAUCAUCCAAUGGGACUGAUCAGAGUGAUUCUGCACUAAUAUUUUGCAAGCGGGAUACUUGUGUACUGUGGAAGGUCUGCUACUGCUGCUUGACUGAGGAUGAACCCAACUGUUAUCAGAGGCAGGAUGUGUGCAAGGCAAACUGCCUCUCUUGCAAACCUAAAUGCUCACGCCACCAUCGUCUACCCAAAACCAACCGAUGAUGCAACCCUAUAUGUUUGGAACGGUAGUUGCUCUACUUUACAAAAAUAAUAACAAGAGCUAGCCUCCUUGUAAUCAAUCUCAAUCAUCAACUUAGAGAGUUGAAAAUA